rnacentral:rRNA from 1 species
AUUGAACGCUGGCGGCAGGCCUAACACAUGCAAGUCGAACGAGUGGCGGACGGGUGAGUAAUGUAUGGGAAACUGCCUGAUGGAGGGGGAUAACUACUGGAAACGGUAGCUAAUACCGCAUACCAUCAGAUGUGCCCAGAUGGGAUUAGCUUGUUGGUGGGGUAACGGCUCACCAAGGCGACGAUCCCUAGCUGGUCUGAGAGGAUGACCAGCCACACUGGAACGGAGACACGGUCCAGACUCCUACGGGAGGCAGCAGUGGGGAAUAUUGCACAAUGGGCGAAAGCCUGAUGCAGCCAGGCCGCGUGUAUGAAGAAGGCCUUCGGGUUGUAAAGUACUGUUAGCUGUGAGGCGGUACCCGCAGAGGAAGCCCCGGCUAACUUCGUGCCAGCAGCCGCGGUAAUAC